GGGUGGACUCAGGGGUAAGGAUGAGACUGCUGCUACUAAGGAUGAGACUAGACUCUGAAUAGUGGAACCAGUUAGAACCGCACAGAAAAGGGUGAAGCUAGGCUUGUCUUAUAUAUUUUGCAAACAUUAAAGAGAAAUAAUAUUAGGUUAAAAACCUCUUCAGGUCAGAUUUAUAGUUCUUAUCAUAAUUUUCUGAGGUAAGGUACACUAAAUUAAAUUGUACUCAAGGGACUUGCAUUUCCAUGUUAUUUGGAGAAUAUCAAAACUCUUUGUCUCUUUUUCCUUCAGGCCUGUUUGAAAUAAUUGUCUUUAACAGAGUCAUUUAAA
rnacentral:lncRNA from 1 species